CCGUCGGUUUCUUUCAUCUUCUUCAUUCUUCUCUUUACAUGUUACAAAAUCUAUCGAUCACUCCAGCAUCUCCUCCAAAUCUGUCAAUGAAAUCACCUUGGAGGUUCACUCUUUGCAUGAUGGAAUUGCUCGAUCUCGAGAAGCACUUCGCCUUCUACGGUGCUUACCACAGCAACCCAAUCAACAUCGUAAUCCACAUCUGCUUGGAUAAGAAAUCUGGGUUCGUUGCGGCUAUCAUGUGUUUCGUUUGCUGGGUCGGUUCCAGUGUCUUCGCUGAUCGAUUAGGACCUUCUCUUGCCGUAAAGGUUGGGUUAGCCUCUUAUUGAUGUAGUGAAGAGAGUGGAUUUGAGGAAACCCACAUUGUGGAAUCAGUUUCAUGGGAUGAUCUUGAGAGAAACGCUGCUAGUAAAGCCGGUGGUUCUUCUGAAAGACAUCACUCCUGGAGAUCUCACCAGCACGACUCUUCUAGAAAAGGUGACGAAUCACCUGGAGACUUGUACGAACUGUGGAGGCAAGAACAGAAUAUCAUAGCUGCAAGACUAGACAAGGAACUUAAAUCCAGGUGGGAGCUUGAUGAGCUGAUUGAAGAACAGCUGAGCAGAUACCAGUCGCAUUACUUCAAGACCAUGGUUUCAACCUCCUUGAAGGAUGUCUCUAACCUUCUCAUGCCCACCUGGAUACCGCCUCAUGAGCUGGCUGCUGUGUCCUGGCUUGGAGACUGGCGUCCCACUUCCAUUCUUGACCUUCCACAGAAAUAAGAUACCGCCUCAUGAGCUGGCUGCUGUGUCCUGGCUUGGAUACCGCCUCAUGAGCUGACUCAGGUUUUGCUUUUCUCACCAUCACAAAAAUAAGGAAUGUUAGUGAUGAACUAAAAGACAAAGGGUAUAAAGUGUUGGAACCGGUGAUGAAGAAGCUGCUGAAUCAAACAGAUACAGCAGAGUUUGUGGUCGCAUUUGCAAAGAUUCAAGACGCCAUCCACCAGUUCUUGGAAAUUCUGUCUUCUUAGCAACUCAUAUUGUCCAUGUACAACAGUAUGAAACCUGAAACUAACAGUUUCGCUGACCAUGUCUUGAUAUAGUCAUUGGUAUUAACUCUUUAUAAGCUAUGCAAUAUUGAUCGAUGUUAUGAACAAACCAUUUAUAUUUUUCUCUUCCGAGUGUA